UAUUUAGAAUGGCUUAACCUCACAAAAUUUUGUUCACAUUAUUGUUCAUGAGUAAGAGAACAUAACGUUAAAUUAGCGGAACUUUUCUCUGAGUGUUUGUUUGGGGAGGGAGCGUCAUCGGUGGAACACUUCCGGGGUUUUUCCUCGUGCGGUCUGUAAUAGCCAUUAGCCACUUCUACCUGACCUGUGCGCGAGGCUCGUGAGCGCACGCAAUGUUGCUUCUCUCCAUGAAUGUUACUGUGUUACACGAGAGAGAGAAGCUGAAGCCCCGUUGAUCCACUGAUGAUCUCUCUGUUUACAGGUGUGUUGUUUAAUUAGUUCUGUUUUGUGAAAGGAAAGAGAUCUGGUUGACUGUUAAUAAAUAUGUACUGUAUUAACAGUGUUAUCGGGGAAUCGAAUCAGAUUCGUGCGUGACGCACGUGGUGCGCCCUGCAUAUGGUAUGCUGCUAAAUGUGCAUUGAGCUUUUCUUUUGGAUUUAUGUUUACAAAUUAUAUUAUAAUUUAUUGGUUGUUUAUCAUAGCAUGUUAUUUUAUAUAAAUAUCUGAAUUAAUGCAUAUAAAUACUUGAAUUAAUGCUUAUGGUCAUUUAAUUUAGUAUAAAAUUGAUGUACUAUACAUUAUUGUAGUGUAUUGAUAAGAGUAUUAAUGUGAUGUAUCACAAGGAAGAUUAUGAAUGUGUAACAUUUAUUAUUUUAUUUACAUGUUUUAUUUAUUUUUCUUAAAAGAACUGUAAUAGCCUCAGUCUACCUGUGCGCGAGGCUCAUGAGCGCACGCAAUGUUGCUUCUUCCAUGAAUGUUACUGUGUUACACGAGAGAGAGAGAAGCUGAAGCCCCGUUGAUCCACUGAUGAUCUCUCUGUUUACAGAUUAAAAAGGAAAAACAUUGGAUCUCA